rnacentral:SRP_RNA from 1 species
GUUUCGGACCUGUGCGGCAGGAAGUUUGUGAACCGGGUCAGAUGGGGAACCAAGCAGCCCUAAGCAGACAACCUGGGUGCCAGUACCCCGAGCAGAC